rnacentral:rRNA from 1 species
GGGGAAUAUUGCACAAUGGGCGCAAGCCUGAUGCAGCGACGCCGCGUGAGGGAUGGAGGCCUUCGGGUUGUAAACCUCUUUCGCCAGUGAAGCAGGCCUGUCCCUUUUGUGGGUGGGUUGACGGUAGCUGGAUAAGAAGCGCCGGCUAACUACGUGCCAGCAGCCGCGGUAGUACGUAGGGCGCGAGCGUUGUCCGGAAUUAUUGGGCGUAAAGAGCUCGUAGGCGGCUGGUCGCGUCUGUCGUGAAAUCCUCUGGCUUAACUGGGGGCUUGCGGUGGGUACGGGCCGGCUUGAGUGCGGUAGGGGAGACUGGAACUCCUGGUGUAGCGGUGGAAUGCGCAGAUAUCAGGAAGAACACCGGUGGCGAAGGCGGGUCUCUGGGCCGUUACUGACGCUGAGGAGCGAAAGCGUGGGGAGCGAACAGGAUUAGAUACCCUGGUAGUCCACGCCGUAAACGUUGGGCACUAGGUGUGGGGGGCCUUUUCCGGGUCUUCCGCGCCGUAGCUAACGCAUUAAGUGCCCCGCCUGGGGAGUACGGCCGCAAGGCUA